UGUCGUGAGAGCCGGUGAGACAUUACGCAUGAUGGCAAUGGGGUGUUUUGCUUUGUCGUGGGGUGGGGUGUGACAACAGAAUGGUUUAGAAGGAGGGGGAGGAGGAGGUGAUGGUGACGUGUAAUGUGGUGCUGAAAGGGUAGGAAGGUGUUUUCAUGAUAGUGGAGCAUGAGGAGAAGGUGAGGCUGGUGGGUGCUGGAGAAGGAUGGUUCUGGUGGACCAAUUUGGAAUUGAUUACUUCAACAUUUGGAAUCGAUUCCAUAUUUUCUCUUUAGUACAAAAUGUAAUGGAAUCGAUUACAUGAUUUUGGAAUUGAUUUGACUUGGUCAUUUCAAAAAUGAUAGUGGACAAAUAUGACAUUUUGACAUAAUUCAUUGCAAAUAUGAGCACUUCCAUGGGUUAGAAGAAAGGAAUGCAUCUCGCAAUUCCUUGCUCUCCCCUCUUCACAUAUCUGUUGAAGCAAACAUCACAACUCUUGUAAAUCAUCCUCGCCAUUCUUCGUAAACAGGGAAAUCACCUAAUGUGAAUACAAUCUAAAAGAAAAUACUAACUGACCUCUUUUUGUUUAUGAAGGAACCAUGACAUUAAGAAUGGAAGAAAGAUAAGAUGACAAAAAAAAUUAGAAAGUUCAAAACACAAAGAACUUUAUCUGUUAUCUUGUUUGUCCAUUCAUUUGCAUAUUCAAAUCCAUUCUUUUAGUAUGAAAACAAGCUUAGAAAUGUAUGCACGUGAAUUAUCUUGUUUGACUAUCUCUAAGCAACUUAUGGAUAAUCAAAGUCAUGCUUAUAGUUUGAUUGUUUACUUGGGAAAUAUUCUUUUGAUCUUCUUUGAGCAUUGCAUCUUUAAUUUAAAAUUGUUUAAUGAUAUUUGUAGGUGGGUAUUUUACCCUGGAGGCAAAUCUCCAAAUCUUUGAUAAUAAGAUAUUGGUCUCUUCAAGGAUCUAAAUCUCAUUUUAGUAGAAUCUCUAUUUUGGAUUAUUUUAUAUUUGUGUAUUUGAUUUAUGUUUGUGUUUGUGUGUAUGAUCUUUUAGAAUUUGGGUUGAAUUCUUUCCAAAUAGGGGAUAAUGAUAAGGAAUCUUCAAGUGGUACGAAUUUGAGAACUGAUCCUCUUUAAUAAGGAGAAUAUGAUAGAUGACUAUCUCCUGAACAUGUAUGAGAAGAACUUAAAGAAGAAUAUUUAUAAUUCAAAGAAUCUAGGACAAGGUUAAAGAUCAAAACAUGUCUCUUUAAAUCUUAUAAUAUUUCAUGAAGGAGGAAACUUAAAGAACAUGAAAAUCAUGAGCAUAAUUAAGAAUAAUUUAGGAAAUUAAAUAAAUUUUAAUUUUACAAAAUAUUAAAUUCGCUAGCCGAGCCAGCUUGUGAUCGUUGGCUGAGUUUGCCUCGAUAGGCGAAAUUUCACGUUUGUAAUUUUUAUUUUUUGUUAUUUUUAUGGUUUUAGGCUUUAUUUUAGGGUUUCUAGGUUUUCUUAUACUUACAUGCCUAUAUAUAGAGGUACCAAAAUUUUAUGUAGACACUUUUGAGUCAUAACAUAUGCAUUUGCAGUUUUGAGAGAGAAUUCUCUUGGUUCUUGGAUUAGAACUCUGAUUCUUAUCAAAGAUUAACAUAUCUUUGUCACGAAUCUUUGUUUGACUUAAUAUGCUAGAUUGUGGCGUCCUUAUUCCUAUCUUAUUUUGCAUUCUUAUCUAAUUUAUUUUUGUUAUGAGUCUUGAGGAUUCAAAUUCAUAAAAGAUCAUACUCUUUCCUAGACAAGAUUGUAUCACUUAACAUUCAUUUAUCAUUUUCAAAAUAUAUUAGAAUUUGAAUGAAAUAUCAGUUUUUGUAAGAUUUUAGUGUAUUGAGAGUUUAAUAUGUUUUAUUAGAUUAAAUGUUGAUGUUCCUUGUAAAUAUGAUUUAAUAUAAUUUUUAGUAUUAAUUAUAAAAUUUUGAUGUGUUAUAUAUGUGACUAAAACGCUACCCUGUGUAAUUCUUCCAACAUGGAAACAAUUGCAUGAGGUAAGAGACUUCAAGAAGAAGUAAGACAAGCCAAUUUUAGAGCUACUGUAGCAUAUCAUAAAGCAGCUAGUACUAAUAAGAGUCAUGUUACAACUAAUGCAACAACAUUAGAGGGUUUAGUUAAAACAAAAAGAAAUACACUAUGAUGAAAGAAGAAAUGAUGUUGAUCAAGUGACGCCUUACUAUUGGAAAGACAGAUUGGCCACCUGCAUCCACAUCAAGAUCAAGACUUGGAUGAUUAAGUGUCUCUUGAACAUGGACUUCAUGAGGUAAAUCACAUUAUAUAUUAUAUAUGCUUUCAUCUUUUGCUAUGUCAUAACAUUUCCAGUACUAAUGUUAAAGUUCACUAUCACUAGUACAAAAGUAGUAUACAACGUCGAAUAUUUUGGGUUUUUAACUACGAAUUCGUGAAUGACGUCUUAUCAAGAGACGUUAAAUUGACGUUAAAUUUUAAAAAAAUUCGACGUUAAACAUCGAAUUUUGUCCAUAUACGACGUUAACUUAACGUCAAAUUUUGUCAAUAUACGACGUUAAUAUAUAUUUUUUUCAUUAUUUUUAAUUAAUUGUGAUCCUUUUUUACAACUCUAUGGGACCUGAAAAAUAGAAAAAUAAGAAAUUUCAGUUUUUGGUAUUUUAUAAAGCAUGAACUAUGAAAUCAACAACAAACAACAAUAACCAACAACAAAAAAGUUCAAUCAAACAACAACAACAAACAAAUUCAACCAAACAACAACAAUAAACAAAUUCAGCAGAAAAAAAAGAACAAACAAGUUCAACAAAUAAGUUCUUCAAAACGAAAUCGAAAACGAAAGCUAACCUUCAAAAAAUGGGUUCACGGAAUAAAGUGUCAUCACUCGUGAGAGAGAAAGCAAAAUGUGCCUAUGAAGACAAGAGCACGAAAAUAAUCGAUCAAAAACAAUCAUAUGUAAAGUAGUUAAUUAACAUGCAUUUGUAUCAAAUGAGAGAUGACGUGUGAUGGUCGUCAAACUUCGUUCCAGAAAUGUUUUCGGAAGGGAAGAGGAUAUAGCGUGCUAAAAUAAAGUGAAUGAAAUCCAAAAUAACAUGAUAUUUGAGAGACUAAAAAUAUAUUUAAUCCAUAGAAUUAUCUUUGUAAAUUUGAAAUAAAAAAUAAUAAGUAAAAGAAAAAUAAAUUUAACAAAGAAAUAUAUUAAAAUAUAAAAGAGAAUAAUGAGAUGAAAGUAAGGAACUUUGUAAUUUAUGAACUAAAAGCUAUUCCGAUGUGUUAAAUAGAUAUUUGUAGUAUAAAAAAAAAUAUCGACACACAUAAAAUUUUUACAUUUAUUUGAUAUUAUUCUUUUUUAUUUUUUUAAAAAAAAUAUAAAACUUUAUACUUUUAUAAUUAUUUUACUUUUAUAUUCUGUGUCAAAUGAAUGUAAGAGUGUAUUAUAAUAUCACUACUCAUAAAAAAAAAGUGAAAAAUUAUAUAUAAAGAGUAACUUGAAUUGAUAAUUGUUAAUGGUAAUAGAAAAGGUUUUAGGAUUAAUAUGAGUGGAUGGAAAUCCCCAUCCAUAUAAGGACAGUAAAGAAUGAUUCUGAAAACAGUGAUGUGGUCCAAAUAGAAGAAUGAGAAAAGUGAUUGGGUUGAUGAUGCUGAUUUUGCCUUUGGAUGAAUACAUAGACAUAUGAAUUUGAGGAAGAAGCAUAUAAACAAUCAAUCCCUCUCUCACCUUUCAUUGUCACCAUCCACUCACUGUGAUCUCAUACUUCUCCUUCCCUCUGCUCUUCAUCAUAUAUGCAACUUCUCUUUUAUCAGUGGGCCACAAACUUUUCAAUUAUUUCCCAAAUCCUAUCAGCUUUUCUUCUAGGGCAACAAUUAUAUCACAUUCUAACACACAAAACUCCACAACAUACAACUGGCUUAUUAAACAUUCUUUAUUAUUUUCUCUAAAAAGAGCAAACAGACAACACUUUCUUCUCUCUUUUCUUCUCUACUGCUUCACAUUCUCAUCACACUCUCAUACCCUUCGACCAAACUACCUAACACACCAGUGCUUGCCGGUUAAGUACAUCUUUCAUUGUAUCUCCUCUCGCGAUGGCUUUUGAUAUCACGAUAGAAGUGAACUUUUAAUUUAACUUAACUCUACAAAAUCAUCUGAAGUUUACACCAACUUAUAUAUUAUGAAUUAGUCUUAUUCCAUGUAUGACGUCCAACCAUAGGUUUUCAACAUUUACAUACAUUUUAGUAAUUUUAAACUUAAUUUAACCUCGUUAUGUUAUUAAUGUAACCUGUCUAACAAAUUUCGUAAACUUCUCCGUUGAAAAGUAAAAGAAUGCAGUUUUAUUUCAUGUAGUUCAUACAUAGUUGAGUCUAAUAUCUAAAAUAAAACCAAUAGGUAAAUUAAGUUUCAAAUUAUUUAAAUGGUUAAUUAAAUGAAAUAGGUAGAAAGAAGUGAGUCUAAUUAAGGUUAAUUGCAUGUGUUUUGUGACAGUCACGAUUGCAGCUAUGUGCUUGGCCUGCAUUAUGGUCCACUAUUCUUUUCUGAUACAGUAACUUGAAAACAAAUACACCUAUCUUCAUCCUUCAUCCCUCUGAAACGUUUUGUUUUCAUUAUUAAAGAUCAAACAUGCAGAAGGUUGACAGACAUAGAAUAAGUGAACAUCAUCUCCUCCUUCACAAAUUAAACAAACCAGAUCCAUUACCAUGUCAGUCCAAAUGCUGGUUUUUUCACUUCCAAAUAAAAAAAUAAAAUAAAAUAAAAUAAAAAUACCAAAAUUAACGAAAAAAUUUACAUGCAAUUUAUGCAGAUUAACACAGAUCUGUUGGAUAUGAAUCAGGAGAAAAGAAAUCUAAAAUUUUAAAGAAAAUUGAAGGAGAAAACAUGUAUGUUGGAGCAAAAUCUGGAAAAAGAAUGCAACAGUGAUUGUGCAGAAUGAGAGAGAAAUUGAAGCAGAUCAUCUCAGUUAUUUUCCACAACUUUCUUGAAUUGUGGUGAUAAAAACUCUGUUGUAUUGAAGAUCUUCUUCCUUCAUUGGAGAAGCCUCAAACAAAACACAGUUCAAGAAAGCUGUGGAAGAUCACCAAAAAGAUCAUUCAUCACAAAGUGAGAUCCUUUCUAUGAAAUAGUUUUCUAAGAAUGAAGCAAGAGGAGAGAGAAGAAUGAGAGUGAAUGAGAAAAAUAGAGGUUUCAAUGUGUAUUUAUAUAUAUGUGAGGUGAGAGAAAUUUCAUUAUGUAAUUCAAUGACAGAGAGGAAUUCUUGGCCUUAUUUGUACAGAAAUUUAAAAUGCUUUAUUGCCAAUAAAAAACAUUUAAGAAUUUAUUAAUGAGAUAGGCUACAAAAAUUUGAAAAAGAAAUAAAUAUUUCGAAAUAAAAGCCAUUGUUAGAGUUACUAGACAUCAUGAAAGUUUGUGAAGUAAGACUUUUUGUGAAAAAUAUUUUUUUUCCUUAAAAUAGAUUAUAAAAUUUUAAUAAGUAUCUUAGGACAAUAGUUGAAGAAUUAAAAAAAAUAUUUAAAAUACUAUAAAAAUUUUGAAACUAGGUUUAAAUUCAUUUUUUAUCCAUAAAUUUUAUGAAUGCAAUUUUCAUACAAUAAAAUUUUAAUUGCAUAUUUAGAUAAAAAAAAUUAUUUUUUUAAUUAUUGUCUAAUACUAAUAUAUUAUCUAAUUGUACAUAAAAUAUAUCAGACAUGCAUUUCAUUCGUUAUAAUAACAAUAUUAAUUACUUAAUUCAUGAAAAUUAAUAACGAUCAUAAAACUCCAUCUGUUUCUUAAUAUAUGAAUAUAAAGGUGUGGUUACACAAAUCAAUAAAAACAUAACUUUCAUAAUUUUUAAUAAUUUUUUUUUAAUUUUUUGAACAAUAAUCUUUUUAUUUUCUUAAAAUACGUUCUUAAUCUUUAAAUUUAUAUAUAAAAUUGGAAUAUUGGCAUGUGACGAUGUCUUAAAUUUUCAUAUAUUUUGAUUUCUAAAUUUAGAAAAUAAUAAUAUACAUCAUUAAUUUUUUAUAUUAAACUUAAAAAAUGAAUAAAAACUUUAUUAAUGAUCCUUGAAAUCGAGAUGACCAUAAUUUACUCCAUCAAAUCAAACAAAUAAAAGAGAGGAAAGAACAUAUCACAUUCCAUUAUAUUUCAAAUAAAGGAUAUAAAGUAAUUCUUUUACUCUUGAUUGUCUCAUCUUAUAUAUAUAUAUAUAUAUAUAUAUAUAUAUAUAUAUAUAUAUAUAUAUAUAUAUAUAUAUAUAUAUAUAUUAAAUUUUUUAUUCAAUUAAAGUUUUUAAAAAUACCUUCUUAAUACACUAAUAAUACUACUAUCAAUUAUUUUUAAUAAUAAAUGAAACCUACAAAUUAAUUUGAUUUUAUCAACAAAGGGUUGGGUGAGUAUUAGAUAUAUUAUUAAAUAUUACUAUAUAUGACUAGUUUGAGUUUGAACUAAAUUUUGACAUUAUGUUAAAAAGUGAAAUUUAAAGUCAACUCAAUCCUAAGAUUUAUAGUGAGGUUUGAACUUAUAUGCGAAAAUUGAUUUUAUAUCUAACCAAUGUGAAACUAACAAAUUUCUCACAUCUGGAGCAUGAAAGUAAAUAUUAAUGGAUAGUCCGAUAGUUGUGGAAUAGUAAUAGAUUCAACAAAUACCAAAUAUCACUAAGAUAAAUUCUAACCCAUAACUCUAAUACCAUGAUAAAAUAAAAGAGAAAAAAACAUAGAAUAAAUUACUAAUGUGUAUUGAACACAUAGGAUUAUGCAUUUAUGAAUAGAAAAAUGAAUAAAGAUGGGCCUAAGUCCAUCACAUGUAAAGCUAUCCCAUAAUAUUAUGACUAAUAAUAUCUUAGCUAUAUCUAACGGACAAAUAUCUUAAAACAAUUUGUAUUAAAAAAUGAAAUAUAAAAAUAAACGUAGAAGAAUAUUAAUAAUAAAUUUAAAAGGUUAAAAGAUAAAUGGUUUGUUAGUCACAUAUAAAAUUGUUAAAAUAAGCAUUUGGUCCACAAGUAAACCCAUAAAUUAUAUUUAAUACAAGUUAAUUUGAUUUUAUUAACAUAUAGUUAAGAUGUAAAAUUUAAAUCUAACUCAAUCUUUAACAUUUGUAAUGUGAGGUUUACAAGCAUUUACAAAGUAUAAAUUAGUUUUAUCUCAAAUCAAUGUGAAACUUUCAAUAAAUCUCUCACAUCAACACAUAUACAUUUAAAGUGUGAGAGUAAACAUUAAUAAGUGGUUUAAUAGUAGCCCAAAAUAGACCUAGCAAAAAAUAAACAUUACUAAGAUAAGUUGUAAUCCAUAACUCUAACAUGAUAUUAAAAUAAAAGAGAAAGACAUAGGAUGAAUUCCUAAAUAUAUAUUACAUACAUAAGGUUAUAUAUUUAUGAUAGAAAAAUAAGGCCUAAAUCCAUUAUUUAAAAUUAACACAUAAUAUUGUAACUAGUAAUAUCUUAACUAUACAAAAAGAUAUCUCCAAAUAACUUAUAUUAAAAAAAUCAAAUGUAUGUGUAUUGAACAUGUAGGAUUAUGCAUUAUGAAUAGAAAAAUGAAAAGAGAUGGACAUAAGCUCAUCACAUUUUAAACUAUCACAUAAUAUUAUAACUAAUAAUAUUUUAGCUAUAUCUAACCGACAAGUAUCUCAAAAUAAUUUAUACCAAAAAAUUAAAUAUAAAAAUAAACGUAGAAGAAUAUUAUAAUAAAUUUAAAACGUUAAAAGAUAACUGGUUUGCCACCUGUGGAAUUGUUAAAAUAAGUGUUUGCUUUCUCAGAAAAUAUAUUAAUUAUAUUUAUUACAAGUUAAUUUGAUUUUAUCAAUACAAAAUGUAUGGUGAGUAUUUUGUAUAAUUAAGAUAUUAUUAAAUACUAUUAUAUGGUUAGUUACAAUAUUAUGAAUUAGAACCAAACUCUAUCUAUUAUCAUCAUGUUAAGAAAAAUUAUAUCUAACUCAAUUUUAAUAUUUGUGAUGUGAAGUUUAUACAUUUUUAUAUAUUAUAAAUUAAUUUUAUCUCUAAUAAAAUACGAUACUUUUAAAAAAUCUCUACAUACAUAUAAUGACCUAAUUAACAAACAAUAACAUUACUAAAAUAAGUUAGAUAAGUUGUAAUCUAUAAAUAUGAUACUAUAUAAAAUAAAGAAAAAAACACAUAAAACACAUUCCUAGUAUAUAUUAAAUUAUGUAUUUAUUAUAGAAAAAAAGAAACCUAAAUUCAUUUAUUUUAAAACUGACAAUUAAUAUUAUAACUAAUAAUAUCUUAACUAUAUAGUAAGAUAUCCCCAAACAUCUUAUAUUAAAAAAAUCAAAUAUAAAAUAUAUGGAAAAAUAUUGAUAAUAAAUUUAAAAGGUUAAAAGAGAAAUAGUUUGCUAUUUACAUAUGGAACUGUUAAAAUAAAUGUUUGGUCCACCAAAAAUAAAAAUAAAGUAUCAGAUUAUAUUUAUAAGAGCAAUACAGUUACUAUAUAUUUUUUUUGACUAGUUUACAAGUUAAUUUGAUCAACACGAUGUUUGGUGAGUACCUUAAAAUAACUUAUUUUAAUAGCUUUUAGUUCAAAAAUUACAAAGUUGGUUACUUUCAUCCAGUGUUAUUUUCAUUACUCUCUUUUAUAUUUUAAUAUAUUUCUUUGUUAAAUUUAUUUUUCUUUUAGUUAUUAUUUUUUAUUUCAAAUUUACAAAUAGAAUUAUAUGAAUUAAAUAUAUUUUUAGCCUCUCAAAUAUCAUGCUAUUUUGGAUUUUGUUUCUUUUCCAAAAGUUUGUUUAUUUUUUAUUUUUUUAAGAAAGAGGAUGAAAAUGAACAAACCUUUGAAAAAGAACCGAAAUCCAAAAUAGCAUGUUUGAGAGACUAAAACCAUAUAUAUAAGAUCAGACAAUGAAGAUUAUUAUUGUAUAUCCUUUAUUUGAAUUAUAAUGGAAUGUGAUAUGUUUUUUCCUCUAUUAUGUUUGUUUAAUUUUGAAUAUGAUUUUAGUUUUAUCUCUAGUCAAUACGUUACUUUAAUAAAUCUCUCAAGUCGACAUAUUACAUCUAGAGUGUAAGAGUAGACAUUAACAAGUAGUUCAAUAAUAAUGCAAUAACAAUAGACUUAACAAACAACAAACGUUACUACAAUAAGUUGUAAUCCAUAACUCUGAUACGAUAUUAAAAUAAGAAAAAUAGACACAAAUAUCCUAAUAUAUAUAUAUAUAUAUAUAUAUAUAUAUAUAUAUAUAUAUAUAUAUAUAUUAAACAAAUAAGGUUAUGUAUUUAUUUUAGAAAAAAAAACUAUGGUGAAAAAACAACAAAUACAACUUAAAAGCAUUGCACUUGUGUGAAAAAACAAUGGAAUUGAACUGUGGUCACCCAGGUUACCACAUUUGGCUCCUACAGUUCAACUACUUGUCCAAAACCCAAAAUUCAUACUGUAAUCGUUUACCAAGCUCUUGUAAACGAUUACAAGUGUGAUUUUUGCAGCAUGGUCUUUACCAAUUUUGCUAAGUUCAUCAACUCACAAACAUUAUUUCAUUAUUCUAUCACAAACAUUAUUACUACCUCAAAUUGGCCACUUUAUUCUUUAACAUUUUGAAGAUAUCAAAAUAUAAACCAGUUCAAUAACAUAGGAAUUUAAAUUGCAAUUAUCAAUUACAUUACUUAACAGAAUCAAACAUGCAUCCUGUAUAAAUUGAAAAAAAUAGGAUACAUUACAGUCACUUGUUGAUCUAUGUACAAUGUCCCAUUACUGUCAUUUAUAAACUAAAUACAAGAAUCACUCAUUUUUUAUUCUAAGCACUACAUUUCCGGUGUACGGGGUCCUAAGCGCUUGGCUCUUGUAAAGCCUUCGUGAUCCCACCCUCACAUACAUCUUCAUAAGAGGUUGGUUGCUGGACAUUCCACCCGGGGAAAGAAAACCAUUGUUCAUGGAUGGUUCUGCAAGUGACGUACUAUGUUGACCAUCAUCUUUAUUUGUUCUUCUAGCCUUCUCUUCAACCAACUCUGCCUCCAAGAACAACCCUCCUUUUAAGUUCUUCAAUUAGAUACUAUUGCUCCUCUAGAGUACACAUAAAACUUUCUUUGCGUUUUCUUUUAAGCAUCUUUUUUUAUGUUGGUUGGUCAUCCUUCUUUUUUGGUGUUGAUUGUUUUUCCUUCUCAUCCUUCUUAUCCUUGCUUUGAAGCACCAAAAUCAACAACAACAUGAACCUGAAAUUUAACAAUAUAUAACAUAUUAUCAAACUCCAGUGAAUAUAUCAUAACAUUCACAAGUCAAACAACAAAGCAUAUAUCACACCCGUCUCCAUAACCCAUUUGACAAUGUUGUCUCCUAAAUUUUUAGUCAUUCAAUGCAAGAUUCUUGGAGAUUUCUCUAUUGCACCUUCAGGAGGAAUGAAAUGCUCAGAAAACCAUACCUAAAAAACAUGUUCUUCUUAUAAANNNNNNNNNNNNNNNNNNNNNNNNNNNNNNNNNNNNNNNNNNNNNNNNNNNNNNNNNNNNNNNNNNNNNNNNNNNNNNNNNNNNNNNNNNNNNNNNNNNNNNNNNNNNNNNNNNNNNNNNNNNNNNNNNNNNNNNNNNNNNNNNNNNNNNNNNNNNNNNNNNNNNNNNNNNNNNNNNNNNNNNNNNNNNNNNNNNNNNNNNNNNNNNNNNNNNNNNNNNNNNNNNNNNNNNNNNNNNNNNNNNNNNNNNNNNNNNNNNNNNNNNNNNNNNNNNNNNNNNNNNNNNNNNNNNNNNNNNNNNNNNNNNNNNNNNNNNNNNNNNNNNNNNNNNNNNNNNNNNNNNNNNNNNNNNNNNNNNNNNNNNNNNNNNNNNNNNNNNNNNNNNNNNNNNNNNNNNNNNNNNNNNNNNNNNNNNNNNNNNNNNNNNNNNNNNNNNNNNNNNNNNNNNNNNNNNNNNNNNNNNNNNNNNNNNNNNNNNNNNNNNNNNNNNNNNNNNNNNNNNNNNNNNNNNNNNNNNNNNNNNNNNNNNNNNNNNNNNNNNNNNNNNNNNNNNNNNNNNNNNNNNNNNNNNNNNNNNNNNNNNNNNNNNNNNNNNNNNNNNNNNNNNNNNNNNNNNNNNNNNNNNNNNNNNNNNNNNNNNNNNNNNNNNNNNNNNNNNNNNNNNNNNNNNNNNNNNNNNNNNNNNNNNNNNNNNNNNNNNNNNNNNNNNNNNNNNNNNNNNNNNNNNNNNNNNNNNNNNNNNNNNNNNNNNNNNNNNNNNNNNNNNNNNNNNNNNNNNNNNNNNNNNNNNNNNNNNNNNNNNNNNNNNNNNNNNNNNNNNNNNNNNNNNNNNNNNNNNNNNNNNNNNNNNNNNNNNNNNNNNNNNNNNNNNNNNNNNNNNNNNNNNNNNNNNNNNNNNNNNNNNNNNNNNNNNNNNNNNNNNNNNNNNNNNNNNNNNNNNNNNNNNNNNNNNNNNNNNNNNAGUAUUUCACACAUGUACUUCUACCCAUUUUGUACUUUAAGUUAUAGUUUCACCAUCUGAACUCAACCAUAAUCCUAAACAAAAAUCCUUUCAUUGAUAUUCAGAACUUUAUAUGCAAUUAGAAAACCAUUGCUGGAAUCCACCCAUUUAAACAAUAACUCAAAAUUUUCUUACUGAAUAAAACAUUAUCACUCAAAUCUAAAAACCACCCAAAUGGAGUCUUCGCAAUGACUAACGCGAUGCUCCUCUGUCAAACGUUCAUUCAAAGUACAAUAUAUUUGGUUGAAAAAGAGUGACGAACGGUCAACUGCAAAAACCAAAACAAAAUACCCAUAAUGCCAAAUCCCUAAAUCGAAAACAAGACAAAAAUAAACUCAGUAGAAGAAAACCCAUAAACCAAAACGAAAACUCAAUGACGAAAAUAGAGGAAGAACACAUUUACCUUCCUUGAAGGACCAUCCUCAUCGAACCUUGCCAUUUCGCAGAAUAUCCUCAACGAAAAAGACAUCGAUCGAAAAGAAGAGAGCGAAAUCAAAAACUAUCACGUAAACUGACAUCGACAACGAAGCUGGACAACGAGGGAGAACAACGAGGGAGAGGGACAACGAUGAUUUGCAGCAAGCCAGAUAAAGUUGGUUGCUAAUGAAACAGGGGAAGGGGUAUAUUUAGAAUCUCAAAUUUCAGAAACCUUAUUCAAUUUCCCACUCAAUUUAAAAAAAAAAAAUUAAAACGACCCAAUGGGCUGCUGGCACGUGCCGUUGUCAAAUUGGUGUUAAAAUGGUGUUGUCAAAAUCGUAAAUCUUCGCUCAAUGUUGAAUCCCGAAAUGAUUCGUAAUGUGUGUUCGAACCUCAAUCUCUUACUAACCGCAUAUACUAUUGGUGAACCCAUGGUGCUCUUCGAAUAAACAACUGAAAGUUUCCUUUCACAGCUUUAGCAAAGUAAGUUUGAUAAGCAAUUGCAACAACCAUAAAGAAGCAUUCGGAUUGGGAUUCUGCUACUUCAAAAUUAAGGCUGACUUUUUCCACAAGUGGUUAUUCCGUGUUCGUUCUGAUUAGUUAAUUUUUAUUUCUGCAUUGUAGUUCAUUGGUCAUUGUUUUGUAAAUAUUUCUCUCUUAAAUUGUCAUAUUUUAGCAGCGCUAAAGGGAUCCUAAAGGGUUUGCGUUAUCAGUGAGAUAAAAUUGACCCUACAACACCUUUAAAGGACCAUUUAUGUGUUUGAUGUAAUUUCAUUACAAAACAGAUCCAUAAUUUUGUUCUUGUGAGGAAAUUACAAGACCUUGGAUUCAAGCUACUACCAAGUCAGAGAGUAUAUGCCUACCUAUCUAAGUUUUUGAUGUUCUAUUACCCUUUUGUACCGUCCAAAUUUACUCUGAGAUUACCACCAGCUGCCAACUCUGCCUGCUAUGCAUCCAAAGUCCCUACAAGAGCUUACAACAAUGCCACUUACUUACUGUUUCCCACACUAUUCCACUGCACUAUACAUUUACCGACUAUGGAUAUGAUGUUCAGACCCAUAGGUAGUGUAUAUCAGUUGUACCCUAUAAUCCUCUUACCUAUGCAUAUAUCAGUUGUUUUGCCUUCAUAUAUUGAUGGUACUAUAAUAAAACCAAACCCUUACCGUGUGGGAAGUGGUAUGAUGCUUCUUAUGAGUCCAAAUCAACCAUCAAAAUACAAAAUUAGUUGCCUUUUCAAUUUUCUUCUUCAAGGUCAAUGUGCAUCAUUGUCAAAUGGAGUUGUUUCAUUCAAUCAUGAGUUCUAGAUAGGCCUUUUAUAGUUAUCUAUUGAAGUUGCUGCAAAGUGCAUAUCUAUAUAUGUGUAAAAUGAAGGUUUAAUAGUUUCUUUGGUCCCCACUUUCGUUGCCUAAUCUCAAUUCAGUCCCUAGUUUUUAAAGUGUGUGGAAUAUGUUCACACUUAGUAAAUUUGUGUCAAAUUUGUCCCUUCCGUUAAGUCUCACCAGAGGGAGUUAAUAGAUUGACGAUUUGCCAUCAUAGAGUGCUUACAUGUCAUUAUUCCUUGGAGGGGUCACACUAAGUGACUCAUUUUGCCCUUUCUCUUCAUCCCUUAUCACACUCAAGCUUAAAAAUUCUGUUUUUCUCUCCAUCGCAGAGGCGCAAAGAAGGUGCGGCGAGAGCACGACGAAAGCUUCUGCGUUUCGUGGAGAGGGCAUCCGCGUGUUGUGGCGAUGGUUUUGUUUGGGGAUUUUUGGGUUCUCUGUUGUCACGUAAAGCUAGCGUUUUGGGGUGGAUGAUUUGGUUCCCUAUUAUGUAGGUUUUGAUUUGUGGCGCCAUCCUCCUCCUCUUCUGAAAUUGCAAUUAGGGUUUUGAUUUGUUUUCUGGUUUGGGGGUUUUCGUUCUAGAUUAUGCAAUUUAGGGUUUCUGUGAUUGCAAAUCGUUCUUGCAAUAUGGGUUUUGAAAUUGGGGUUUCAUUUUCCUCUUCUAUUUUGGAGGUUUUUGUUCUGAUAUCUCAGUUUUGUCAUUUGCGAGGUAGGGGUUCAUUCCAAAAUGAUUUUUAUGGUUUCUGGUCUUGUAAUCUUGAUCUUGCAAUUCUUGUUCUUGUUGGGGUUGAAGAUGGAGUGGCCAUGGGGUUUUUGCCUAAGAAAUCAACUUUACGGUGGUUGUCUGGGUUGCGGUAGGAGAAACACUAUUUAGGGCUUUCAAAUUUUGGGUUUCUUUCCUAAUUUUUCUUGGGUUAAGAUUCUAUUUCUUCUUGAUUUUUCUCUUGGGUUUCUUUCAAAUUUUGGGUUUCUUUCCAGAUUUCUCUCUUGCAAUUCUAUUUCUUCUAUUUCUUCUUUCCUGAUUUUGGAGUUAGGGUUCUGCAUUUAGGGUUUUUAUUUCUCACGUUUUUGGGUUCUGGUUGACGAUGGUGAUGAAGUUUGCGACAAUGGGGAAGAUGGGUGCGGCCAAUGGGUGCUGCGAUGGCUCCGACAAGGUUGGACUGUGGUUGACCCUAUCUGAAUAAAACACAUAUAUUAUGUAAGUCACUUACACGUUAGCACACACAAAAUAAUAUAUUGACAAGUUGCCAAUAACUGGUGCCAGAUCAUCGACCCACUAACUCCGUUUGGUGAGACUUAACGGAAGGGACAAACUUGACAUAACUUUUAAUAAGUAUGGACAUAUUUCACACACUUUUAAAAAUGGGGACUGAAUUGAGAUUAGGCAACAAAAGUGGGGACCAAAGAAACUAUUAAACCUAAAAUGAAAGGCAUAUAUAUAUAUAUAGUUUUAGUUGAGGUCAUGAUUGUUGACUCUGUAGCAGUUGGGUUCCAAUCAGGAUGAUGAGCUCUGAAUAGCCCAACAAGGCCAGAAACAUGAGAACAAGACGGUGAACUGCCAGUCAAUGAAGGAUUUAUUCGUGUGUCAGAUUGUAGACUUGUAGGAGAUAUAACAUCAAUAUAACACACAAGGUGGCUGAAAUAGAAAGCAAAAGUUAUAAUUAUGAUAAUUUAUUAUCAUAUAUUAUCUUUUAGGUUAAAAUCCUUUUUUUAUCCAAGUUUUGUAAACUUUAACUUUUAGAGGUAAAUCUAUUAAUAAAUUAAUUUCUUUAUGUAGUUUGCGACUUUAAUAAAUAUGUUUUUUCAUUUCAAUGUUAAUAUUUGAUUUCUAUGUUUAAUGCUUAUUGUAGCUUGAACACUCAUGGUUUGAUCGUGGUUCUUGAGAUAUUGAAAAAUGUCUCUUAAUCCUAAAAAUGAAAUUAAAUACUGAAUAAAAAUUGUGUCUAGAGAUAAAACUUUCUUUAUUAGUAAUGUUAAAACUUCUUAAAUUUAAUGCAUGAUUUCAUUGGUUGAUUGAUGGAAACCCAUUGAGGGCAUUCCAUUCAAAGGAGUAUCAACUAAAGCUAAGGCUAAGAAAGGGAAGUGAAGAAGGACUUUUAAAAGCUCUUUCUUGAUUUUCUUUUUCUAAGUCUUAGAAGGAUUCUCUUUAAUAUGUUCAUAUGUGUUUUGUAGGUCUAAUAAAGCUAGGAGAUCAUGGAUCAACUAGAUGACUUAGCAUGGACCAAACCAACCCAAGAAGAAGGAUAAAGAAGUCAUUUUACACAAAGGGAGGGGGUGAGCUUAGUAAUGAAGGGGUUGCAUCAUGAAAACACAUGACUCCCACGUUGGUGUGAGUCUUUUGCAACAUCACAAGCAAAUGAUACGUGAUUUGGCUGAAGCAUUUGUUGCACCUCUACCGUUGCCAUCUGCAUCAUUAAUAGUAUAGGUCUUCCACUAUAAAUAUGAGAUGUAUUGGCAUAUGAAAUCACUUUUGGAUGUAAUGAAAUGCUGCAGAAUUGCUUGCUCAGCCUCUUAUAUCCCUUAGUCACCUCUGAAUUUGGAAUUCAGAUACUCUCCUCUAGCUUCCUUCCUUAGUAGGAAGGCCGUCUGAGCUUGGAGGCAUCAUACACACACCACACCUUCAUCCAAACUUUCAUCAAACACCUUCUAUGAAUCAUCCAUUUCACUGCACCAAUUCACAUUCCAUUGCAUCUCUGUUUUGGAGCUUCUUCUUGCGUGCUUUAUGCUAGGAGAGGAUUCCAUCAUUGAUGAUCUAAGAGUUUAGACUUUAACGAGUUAUCAUAGGUCCAAAGUCUCUAAGGGUUGAAUUUUAGUGUAUUUGUGAAUUGAUUUUAACAUAAAAUAAAAAUUAAGAUAUUUAUGAAGUAAAUUAAAUUUAGUCUUGACAAUUUAAAUAUUUAAUGUUAAAUAUUUGUUGUGGAUCAAUUAUUUAAUAAAAAUAAAAAAGUUUAGUUGUGUUUUUGAGGAUUUUGCUAUUUAAUUAAAUCCUGAAUUACAGGAGUUCUAGAUUCUUGCACAAGUUUAUUUAAAAAAUGAUAUUUGGAUUUUUUUUUACUUUAUUUUUUGUACACUUUUUAAAAUCUUAACACUUGUAAAUAUAAAAUCUAAUAUAGAAUGAAACAAAAGUAAUAUCUAAAAAAAGUUGUGCAAAAUAGAGACGGAAGGUAUUAAACGAAAUAUUAAGAUUGUAGGGUAAUUUAACAAAAUUUUGUUACUAAUUACAUUGAGUUUAAACAAAAUUUCCAACAUAUUGAGUUACGAAUUACACUGAUAACUUAAGAUUACAUAUCUAUUUUCAUGAACUGCAUUUCUUGUCUUGUGACUAUUUUUACUAUUUUUAUUAAAAUAUGGUGAUACGUGAAGACAAAAUGUUGUAUUAAUCCUAAACAAUCAAACAUUAUAUUUAAAUCAUUCAAAAACUAAACAUUAUUUGGUUAAAUUUGAAAAAAAAUUAUAAACACUCCCCAGCCUUCUAUAAUCAAGGAAGAAAAAGUGCAAAUUGCAUUGGUGCAAUGAGAUUUCUAGAUAUUACACAUAAUGUAGCGAAUUGGUAUAAGAAUAGCAAUGUUCGUAUCUCUCUGGUUUUUAUUCCUUCCAAUAUUCUUCUUCAUUCUCAUAAUUUUAAAAUCUUAAAACACUUUUAAUUUACUAUGUAAUAUGAAAGACUUCUAUCAAUUUUUUUUCCUUAAUUUUAUAAUUUAUUUUUAGGGUACGUAUUUAAUAAUUUUUACUCUUUUAUAUAAUUAUUUGACUUUUAUUUAAGUGUUAGUUGAUAUUUUUAUAAUUUUUUUUCUUAAUAUUCGAUAUUAGAAAAAAAAUAUGGGCAUCAUUUUAAUGUUGAAUACUUGACAAAAGGUGUUUUCUUUGUUUAGAUUUUUCUAUAUGAUUUGAUAUUUAUUUAAUUAUUAUUUGACACUGUUAUCAAAUUUAAAUAAUAUUAUUUCUUUAUUGAUAGUUGAAAUUUAAUUAAUUAUGCUCUAUCGUCAUCUUAAUUAUAAGAAAGAUAUAAUUUUAAUUCUUUAACUAAAUUAAAGCUGUCAAAACGGGUAACCCGGCUCGACCUGGUCCAAUCCAUUACGAGUUGGGCACUUAGUGAGUCAAUCCAAUCCAGCUCAUUUAUUAGUGAGUCAAAAAAAUCUGAAUCCGGCUCGACCCACCAACGGAUUGGCUCACUAGCCAAUUUAAUUACAAUUUUGUUUUUUAAAUAAAAAAUUACAAACUUUCUAUAUUCAAAUUUAAAAAAAUUUCACUCCAAAAAAAUGUGAUGUUAAACUAAAGACAAUUCAAAAUAAUAAUAAAAAGUACAAUAUAAUUCAAAUGUCAUCCAAAAACAAACACAAAAAAUAUACAAAAAAAACCUGUUAAAGAAUUCCAGUGAAGAAGUUAGAGUGACAGUAAAUGAGAGCAAGUUCCGUGAGAGCAAUUUGUGAUAACGUUACUUUUUUGGUAUACGAGUGAAGAGAAUAUUUUAUUUUUUAGAGUUUCAUAAAUAAAAUAAUAAAUUAAAAAAAUAAAAUUAGGUAGGUAGAUUGAGAGGCCAACCCAAUCUACUACAGGUUCAACUCACAUGAAUCAGGUUUAAAUAAGCCGAAUUGAAAUGUGACCUGCAUAUUUAUUUUUUCAAAUCCAACCUGACUGAAGCGACAGCGAACCUAUAUUAGCUCGCUCGCAAGUUGUGACGUAGCUCUGACUAAUUCCGUGGCUGCCGUUAAAUAGUUGAAGAAGGUUUGUCAUAAAUUUGCAACAUGACAAAAGUAUAGCACAUUAUAAAGCAGAGAAAGAUUUGCAGCUAUUUCAUCAUUCUAUUGUGGAGAUGACACUAGGAAAAUGAAAGGGACAACAAUAUAAUGGUGGGUUCUUCCCGUCUAUUUUACAUUUCUAUUGUGUAGAUAUUUCUUCUCACAUAUCACUUUCAUCAAACUUUAUGUUUCUUUAUUUUUCUUCAAAAUAAUUUUAAUGUUUAUUUUUAGUUUUGCACAAUAUUUUCUGGUAGGAGACAUAUGUCCAUUAUGUGAUAUAGGAGUUAAACUCCCUGUGUAGUUCAAUAGGUAUAUCAUUUCAUAAAGUUAUUAUUUCUUUAAACUAUAUCAAAAUUGAUUUUAAGUAUAACUCAUAACUAUAUAUAUAUAUAUAUAUAUAUAUAUAUAUAUAUAUAUAAUAUCAUUUUGAUGUUUUUUUUCUUUCAAUUUUACCUUUUUAAUUCUUAUUUUUUAAAUUUAAAUAAUUAUUCAUGAUAAAAAAAAUAUUUUUCAAUUUUAUCAUUUUAGUAACUAUGAAUUCAAAUAAUUACUCAUUAUAAAAAAUUAUUUACUCUUUUAUCAUUUUAGUAAUUAUUUUUUAAAAUUUAAAUAAUUACCCUUAAUAAUAUUUUUUAUACAGUAUUACUUAAAAUAUUUUUUAUUUCAAUAAUAAAAAUUUAUUUUAUCUAUAAUUAUAUCUAUGUGGGUUCUAGGUUGAAUUGGUAUAAAAAAAAUUUCUGCUUAUUUACCAAAUUGUUAUCGUGUCAUUUAUUAUACCUGUUAAAUUAUAACUAAUAUUAAAAGUGGUUAUAAAAAAAUAUUUUUAUAUUAGUAUUUGGUAGAAAAAGAGUCUAAAAAUAACUGGAUAUUGUAAGGUUCAAAUCCUAUAAAGUAUCAUUUUAGUAUUGGGAUUUUGAUAAUUAGUGAUAGUUUUAUGGAUAAUAAUACUAUAUAUAAUAUAUUGGUUUCUUGAUAAUUAAUGAUACUUUUAAGGAUAAUGAUACUAAAUGGUAAUAUUAAGGGAUCAUUAUUCUUUUUAGCAUCAUUGUAACAUGUUUUAAUUUUGAGUUUUAUUGUAUCAUGUUAUUCUGACCAUAAUUGUUUUUAUUCCAAUACACAAGUCUUAAUAGAUAUACUUUUCAAAUUCCUUUCAACUAGUAAAAAAAUUUAUUUUAAAAUGAAAAACAAUAUUUUCUUUCAACUUUAUAAUCAUGAUUUUUUUUAUGUUAUAAAAAUGACUUAGUAAUAAAAGCACUUUUAUAAUAAUGAUAGUAAUAAUAAUAAUAGUAACAAUUGUCAUUCGUAAUAAUAUUUAUAAUUUUAGAUGAUAAUAUGACAAUACAGACCGAAAAUGAGUGGUAAUAAUAAAGAUAACAAUUUUGUAAAUAUUGUAAUAGUUGGAACAUUGAGAUAAAUCGAGCUAUUGCGUAAUAUAACGUAUGAUUGAAUUUUUAUUAUAUUUAUGAUGAAUUGUUUUACAACCAGCUUAUAAUUGUUUUUCAAUCGUUUCAACGUGAGGUUGAGAGUGAAUCAACCACAUAGAUAAGGUGUUCUUGUUGUCCAAGUGUAAUAGAUAUUUUUUUAUUAUAGUUUCUGAUAGGUUGUCAUCUAUGUAAUUUUCUAUCUUGGUAGUUUUAUUUUACUAAAAUAAGAUAUUACAAUAUUAACUUUAUUUAAAUUCAUAUUUUACAUUAAAUUUUAUUUUAUUUUUAUUUUAAAAUUUUAAGUUUAUUUAUUUUAAAUCAUUAUAAAAUUGUUUUAAAAUUUUAUAUUUAAAUUUAUAGAAUUUUUAUUUUUAAAUCAACUAUAACAUUUGUACAUAAAUUAUUGAUAUAUAAAUAUUUAAAAUAAAAUUUAAUAUAAAAUAUAAAUAUAGAUGAACUUAGUUUUGUUAAAAAUAUUUAAUAAAGAUAUUAACUAUAAUAAAAAAUAUCAUUAUAAUUUAUAUAAAAAUUAAAUUUAAUCUUUAAAUAAAGAUAGAAUUGUUUUAUUUUAAAAUAAAUCGAAAAAUAAAUUAAAAUAAAAUAAAAAAUAUAGUAAUGAAAUUGAAAUUGUUUACAUAAUAUUUAUUUCAAGAAUAAUACAUAACAUUGACACUUUUACAUAUGAGAUGUUAUAUAUUUACUAUUUUACUUUUUAAUAUAUAUUUUUUAAAAUAUAAAAAAUAAUUUUUUAAUAAGAAAAAUAUCCUUAAAAGCAUAUUCUAUAGUAAAAGGAAAAAAAAAAAAACAUAUUUAUAAUUGUUAAAAGUAAGGCUUUCACAAUGAUAGAGGGUCUUAGCCACUAUAUAUAUGAAUGCACAUGCAUGCCAGGUAAGAGCUCUCUCUUUCAUCUGCUUUCAGUUUUCCUGUCUACAGCCACUUAAUUUCUGGAAUGCUCUAUAAGGUUUUUGGAACUAUAGUUUAGAGAAUAUAAGACGUGUGGCAUAACAAGUUACAUCAAACAAGCAAUGAAACAUGGUGGGUCUAACCCUAAUUAUGACUUCUCACACCCAACACUACAAAACUCUAUUUUACCCUAAAUUCUUUUAUCUCUUUUUUAAAGGCUAAAACAUUUUUUAUUUAUCAUCUCUCAUUUAUGUCAUAAAGAUCCACACUAUAUAUUAUAUGCUGCAAUUUCAUUUUACAUAAAGAAAGGUAUUCCUCAUAUCUUUUCAUGAACAUGCAGGGAUCUGUCUGUGGGAUCCAACUUCACUUGCAUGCAAAUAUGUCAGCUCAUAUUAUUUAUAUAUUUUCAAUGAAAUUAUCUUUUCUCCUCUUACUUCUCUUUUCAUUCUUCUUAGUUACUAAGCAAAAUUAAGGAAUUGUUUGCUAUAAAUUAAAAUUAUAUUUAUAUAUUAAUUUUUUAUUAUAAUUAAUAAUUAAAAUUUAAUUAGUAAAAUGUGAAGACCUGGAAAAUAAAAAGGGGUUAUUGGGUCUUAUGUUAAACAGCUCACCCCAUAAACUAAGGACAAUAUAGCCUUGGGAGAAGACUUCUCAGGAGUUUGAUUCACUUUUGCUCAAACCCUUCCCCUCUCUAGAAUUCAGAGUUUCUAUUUUUUUAUGCCUUCUCUCUAAUCCUACUCCAUCUUCUCUCUACCCUUUCUCAAAUUCCUACUGUUGCAUUUUCAAACAGGUUUUGCCCCCAUGUUCCUGGAGUUAAGAACUUCCUUUUCUACCAAUUAGUUUCUCCAUCUCAUCCCGGUAAGCGAUUCUACCUUAUUUCUCCGCUAUUUGGGAACCUAGGGCAUGCAACUUUUCUGGUUGCAUGUAGCUAGUGGGUCUUUCCUUCGACAUUCCUAUCCUUCCUAGCUCUAAGCACUGCUUCUAUCACCCAUUUGGUGAUCUAUAGGAUUCUGUUGAGCUUGCCUAGGAGUUGUACUAUGUGGGCUAACAGGUAAGGAGAGCUAAUUAUUUUGUUUGAAUUUAUUUUAUAAAAUGUAUGCAUGUUAAGUUCUGAACUUGUGCGAUGAUUUCAACUGUGAUGUAUCUGUUGAGCAUGAACUGGGCUGUACAAAUGAUGAAGCUGUGAUUGAUUUCCUGUGGUGUGUUUUGAUGAAUUUAAUUGUGGUAAAUAGGCCUGGUAAAAGUGCUUGGGGAUGGGAAUUCUGAGAUAGUACUGUUUAGAUGGGAAAUUAUGUGCUAGUUAGUGCUUUAGGUUGGUUUAAAGGAAGUGGGAUCAAGAAAUUAAGCAAUUGUGGUUUGGAGUGGGUUUGGAGUGGUGAGACAAUUUAGAGGGAAAAUUUGGGCUUGUGGAGAGCACUUUGUUGGUAGGAUAGAGGAAUCUUAAAAACCAAAGUUGGUGCAUCAUUGAUCCUAAAGCAGCCCUAACCUGGUCCAACAAGUUGUGACUAGUCAUAUGCACCAGCGCUUAUGGUGAGUUUGAUGCAUCAAACAUUUGAUUCUUCUCCGAUGACCAAUUGGGAUGGUAAGGAGUGUUUGGGAGAGGUAAGAUCUCCAUUGUAAUAGUAAUCAGAUAGACAAUUUAGUAAUUAGGAAACAUUUUAGUUGUUUGAAAGGAAGUGAGAAGGGGAUUUUGAGCAGUUGGGGUAUUGGGUACAAGACAAUUGUGACUUGUUCCAAUCAUAAAAUUGGCCUAAUAUAUAACAAGAAUGGUAGAAUUGAAUUCGGAGUCCUAAGUUAUAGAAUUUGAGGUUUUAGAACUGAAUUCAAGUCUAAAUCACUUUAGAAUCACUGUAUACUAGUUAAAAUUAACAUGGACAAGUUUAAAUAGGUUUGUAUCACGAAUUUAGGGUAUUAGAAGUUUGAUUGAAGGGUUGGAAUUGGUUGGAGGGGUGUGAGUUGCAUGAUUUUGCAGAACUGACGUUCUGCAGAUCAUGCAGACUCGCUAUGCGGAUUAUUUCGCAUAGCGAGUCCAUGUAGGGGAGUGCUCUCUGCUAGGAUUAAAUCGCAAGGCGAAUGAGGUAGGUGCGCUAUGCGAAUUACUGCGUUUUCGUUGUGCGAAUACACUGCGCUAUGCGAAGGGUCAAAGUUUUUGCUUUGUUUGUCCUCUAUUCAUGUUUGAUUAAGUGAUAAGUACUUUGCUUGUGGAUCAUGGUUAAAGGUAUAUGGCCUUAUCUUUGGAACUUUAACAUGUAUAUGUUGGUUGUGAUUCAAAAGUAUGUGGAUUGAGAUAUGAGUUCAAGGUUGUUCAUGGUAUGUUUCAAAGUAUCGAGUCUCUUGGUGAGAUUCUUAGUGUUUAGAAUGAAAGUUGGAGCUCAUUCAUGGGGGUUUUCUUGAUGCUCCAAUAGCCUUUCUUCUCACGUAGAGAGGAUUAGACCAUGUCGUGAGGAGUAGCAGGAGGUCUUAGUCUUAGAGGCUUCCAGUAUGCUCCAAGGCGCGGAACAGACUAACCUCAUGAAUGUGGCAGGGUGGGAAACCCAAGUAUCAUAAGCCACCACGGGUGCAUGACCCGCCAUAGCUCAACUCUCAUUCUAAAGUCCGGAUGAGUCAGGUCUAGACUUUAACAUGUUAGGAUGGAUGUUUUACUUUGGUUUGAUUUAAGUUAACUCUUGUAUGUAUAUGCUCCUAUGUUGUAUGCUUUUUAUAUAAUUAGCUCACCCUUACUUGCUUAUGUUUGUGACAUUUUUGCGUAUGUUUUCUUUUGCGAUGAUCAUCCACUUGGAUGUGAGCAGAGGAAAAUGAGGUUCCCUGGAAGACAACUUUGGAAGAAGAUGACAAUGUUGCAGUCUAGCCCACUAGGCUUCACUUAUCUUGGCCUAUGUUAGUUUGAGGAACUCUAUUGUGUUAAAAGUUUUAAAUUCCUAACAUUUUGAAGCAGGACUAUAGUACUCUAGUUUUGAAUUUUAGUAUCGUUCUAAGAAUGACUGUAAUCCUAAAUAUUUUAGAUUGCUUCUCUAACUGCUUUCUAGUAUUAUGCAUGAUGACGUCUUAAUUAUAUACAUCUUUAUCAUAUAUUUGGGAUGUCACAAUAAAUAUAAUAAUCUAAAUUAAAAUAAUAUAAUAUAGAAAAAAUAAAUUUUUUCUAUAUUUUUUAAAAUUAUUUUUAGUUUUAAUUUUUAAUUUUAAAGAAAAAAAUUACCAGACUAGGUGGUGUCCCGACUUCGUCUAGUGUCCCGACUUCGUCUAGACACUUUCGUAGUUAGACAAAAUAGAUCUAAUCAAACUAAAAAAUAUAGAAAAAAUUUAUUUUUUCUAUAUUUUUUUAAAAUAAUUUUUAGUUUUAAUUUUUAAUUUUAAAGAAAAAAAUUACCAGACCAAAUGGUGUCCCAACUUCGCCUAGACACUUUCGUAGUUAGACAAAAUAGACCUAAUCAAACUAAAAAAUUAAAAACCACGAUCAAUCUACUAAAUUCUGAACAUAAUUUAUUAAAAAAAUAUUUGUUUCAUGUAAAUAAAGUCUUUAAGUUUUUGUAAAAGCUAUUUUCUAGUUACUUUUCUAUUUUUUCAAUUUGUUAAUAAAUAUCUACAAUAGCAUGUUUUGGAAGGUUUAUUAAAUCUAUGAAGGGCAUUACCGAAGGCCACAAACCCUCGGAAAACUCCAUAAACCGUCGAUAAAGACCCAUUACCAAGGGCCCGGCGACGGUCAGAAAGCCCUCGGUAAAUAUGUUGUCGCUAUUUUUACCGAGGGCUUUUGACCCUCGAUAAUUAUCGAAGGCUUUCGCCCUUCGGUAAUUACCGAUGGCUUUCGCCCUUCGGUAAUUACCGAUGGCUUUCGCCCUUUGGUAAUUACCGAAGGCUUGUGCCCUUCGGUAAAGCCUUCGGUUUGGUGCAGGGAAAAAUGAGUUGUAUUUGUUUUUCUUGUCCAACCACAAGUACCUGCAAUGUAAUGUUCACAACAUACACAGACCUGCAUAACAGUUUCAAUCCACAAACAAACCUGCCUAUAUAUUGUCCAUCCCAAAAUCUUCCGUUCAUUGAUGAAAAAUCAUAAAGUACUAACAUUAUCAUCAUAAUGUAUUGACAUCCAAUAUGUUCUAACAAUAUCAUAAUAGCAAUAUCAUCCAAUUCUAAGCAAAAAUAAAUGUACCAAUAUCAUAAUAUACUAACAUCUAAAUGUACUAACAUCACUAUGAUCAAUAACAAAAUGAAACUAAAAUUGUACAAAGUCUUCAGACAUAUCUUCAUCGUCUUGCUCAUCUGUAGAUGGUUGGACUGGUGUGGGCUGGACUGAUAUGGACUGAUGAGGGACGGCGGGUGACGGGGAGGGUCGUGGCUGGGUCGGAGGGACAGUGGAAGGAGUGUCUGAAGUUUGAGGCAGCGCUCUCAUGACCAGGGACUUGAAGCUUGAAAACUCGUCUCUCAAGUCAGUAUAUUCUUCUCUCAAUGCACGGUUUUCUUGGUCAUGUUGCUCUAGUAGCUGUGUCAAGCGCUGGAUGGCCUCGUCAGCAGAAGGGGUGGAAGAAGAAGAAGGUUGGUGCUUUAGUGUACCUCCUCUCGAUGCUGUAUAGUUUGCAGCAAGUUGUCCUGCACCGUAGACUCGUCCCUUUUUCUUCCCACCAACGACAUUGACCCAGUACUGUGUCCUACGGAUGUCGUCAUCUGCAUUACUCGCAUCAUCCGGUGUAGGAGCUGACCCAUGUUCGGAUCUAACCUGUAAAAGUCUCGUAGAAAAUUCUUCUUGUUGAAACAUUAAAAACAAUGUCAGGGAAUGAUACAAUAACAUAAUCAUGUGGAUUACUAAUACUAGGAGUGCUAUUUACAUGAGUCUUGCGAGAUCUUUCAUCAACGAAUUCAUUAGUGCCCUUCCGAACAUGGGUAUGUGCAAAGACCUCGUCAACAUGGACGGCCCGUCCAAGAGCUUGUGCCUGUAACAUAAUUUAGACUUAUUAGUGUAUAUGAAAUAGAAAAUACAUAAGUUAUAUAUGAAAGAAACAGAAAAGUAAAGAAAGUUUACCAUACGAAUGGCAUGCUCGUGAAUUGUGAUCGACCCGCCAGUAUGCAAGGCACCACCCUUUUCACUCGCUCUGUUCCUCUGGUUUGUAGCACUCUUCUUGCGAAACUCUACUGAAUUCCAAUGUGCAAGCAAAGAGUUCCAAAUGAUUUCGCCCAUCCAGUAAGGGCGCUCCCCUGCAAUUCGGGCAUCCCUAAACAUCUCUGAGAGCCGAUGAGAUGCUUUCAUGUGAAAAUUUCUAUGUAUUUGACUUUCAUGUUCAGCUUUCCACUGCACCUUCUUCUAUAUGGAUGAACAAAACAAACAUUGAUUAAGACAUGGUAAGAUAUGAAUGAUAAUUAGUUUAAAGUGUUGUUCACCUUAAAACGCUCCCAGAAUAUCUUUCUGUCGUCUAUAGGUAUUGCUCCCCAAGUAGGCCAUGGAGUCAAAUACUAUUGCUUAAUUGAUCGUGUGAUGGCCUGGGAAGCAACCCUGGAUGGAAUAAACCUUCAUAUAAAGAAAUAAAAGUUAUUUCAAAUAAGACAAUGUUUAAAACAUCAAUCAAAGUUAUAAAAGGGAUUAAAGUCUUACCCUUUUCCAUAUGGCUCAAUUCAUGGUCGAUCAUGGAGGAGCGGGUCAACAUCAUCACCAUCACAAUCUGCAUCUGGAUCAGUAAAUGGUGUGGCAGUCUCAGAAGGCGGUCUAGAAGAUGAGGAAGGUAUAGAAGUAGGGUCAGGGGGAGGAAAAGGCUCUUCUGCAGGGGUAGGAGGAGAAAGGUGUACAGUAAGAGUAGAGGGAGGGUGUACAGUAUGAGUAGGGGGAGGGUGUACUGUAUGAGUAGGGGGAGGGUGUACUGUAUGAGUAGGGGGAGGGUGUACUGCAGGAGUGGGAGGAGGAGGGUGUACUGCAGGGGUAGGAGGAGGGGGGUGUAUAAUAUGAGUAGGGGGAGGGUGUACUGCAGGAGUAAGGGAAGGGUGUACUGCAGGACCAAUUAUCACUUUAAAAGGUCACUUUUUAGGUACUUAAAGGUCAAAUAUCGAGUUUGUCCUUAUUCUUUGCUUUUCACCACUUUCCUACCUUUAUUAGACUAAGUUAGACUUGUUAGGAUGUUUACAUACCUUAGAAUAAGUCUACAUUAGGUGAAUUGACCAAUUAUCACUUUAAAAGGUCACUUUUUAGGUACUUAAGAGUCAAAUUUCGAGUUUUACCUUAUUCUUUGCUUUUCACCACUUUCCUACCUUCAUUAGACUAAGUUAGACUUGUUAGGAUGUUUACAUACCUUAGAAUAAGUAUACAUUAGGUGAAUUGACCAAUUAUCACUUUAAAAGUUCACUUUUUAGGUACUUAAGAGUCAAAUUUCGAGUUUGACCUUAUUCUUUGCUUUUCACCACUUUCCUAUCUUUAUUAGACUAAGUUAGACUAGUUAGGAUGUUUAUAUACCUUAGAAUAAGUCUACAUUAGGUGAGUUGACCAAUUAUCACUUUAAACGCUCACUUUUUAGGUACUUAAAAAGUGAUGACUGAAAAUGUGUUUGUGCACAAAGGAUGGAUAAUGACCAUUUAAAGAGUGCUCACAAGUUUGUAAUGACACAAUACACGUGCACAAAUGUUCCAAAACCACAAAAGCACACAAAAUGACUCUAAAAGUUGCCAAAAUAUGCAGAAAAUUUCUCCAAACUGCACCAGGAAAUUGUUGCUGAAAAAAGGGGAAACAUGAAUGGCCAAAAUGAGUGGUAUUCUGUUUAAAGCUCAAAUGAAACAUCCAGCACAUUUAUAUUAUGAGAUUGAAUAUGUGCAAUCACUUUGGCAACAAAGAUAUCAAACACAUCGGAAUCCACUGGUUCACUUGCAAUUUUCAAGCAAAAUUGGUGGUUUAAAUAGUGAUUUUGUGCAUUGAUUGGAAAAUGACUAAAAGAACAGUGCACAUAGCUUCCAAAUGGAAAAAUACACUUGCUCAAAUGUAAAGAAUGCACUAAAACAUCCAGAUGCAACAAAUCACAGCAGCUGUAGUCAAUUAUGCAACACUUUUAAACUAAAAUUUGUACCAAAAUUUAUAUACUCAAUUGGAAUCAAACUGGACAGCAUAAAUAAAACUCAUGGAAUUCCUAAUUGACUACAUCUAACUAUAGAAUAAUAGCUAGGAGAUGUAAAAUGGCCUAAGACACAUCAAGGAUUCAAAGGAAGGAUGAGGAAGAGAUAGAGAAUUGGAAGGAUGGAGAUAAGUCUUAAGAAUCCUUUAGGUAUUGUAGAAGAUAUGUAAUAACAGUAGUAGAGACAUGAGAUUGUUGUCAGACACACCUUCAUGAACAUCACAAUUUCAUCAUCCGUUCUUUUUUAUUCUUUUCUUCCUUGAAUCUAGGUGGUGGAAUGUUUCUGAAAUGUCACGGGAAAUUAGGAAUGAUGUUGAUUCAAUUCCAAUUUUUAACUCCUUGAUAACUUAUUUCUAGAUUAUGGAUGAGGAUGAGUAUAUCGAGCUAAAGCAAAUUGAGAUGGGUAGUUGAUUUAAUAAAUGAAAUUGAAUGAAGUAAUUUUUGAAACAGAGUUCAAUUCUAAAUAUUACUUGAUUGUCAUGAAACGAAAGUGAAUAUGCCUAUAGCAUAUCUUACAACAAUAAGUUCCUUACUAUGGCAGCAUUCCCUCCUAAUCUUUGUCUCCAAUUUAAUUGCUCAUUGGUUUGUACAGACUAAAUCUCUCUUAUAGACAAUGUGCAAGCUGGCAUUUUUAGAAACUGCCUCAUUUCUCAUCAUAUAUGGCUCCAUCUCACUCUUUCAUCACUUACACACUCAUUCUCUUUAUGCUUCUAUCCACUAAUUCAAUCAUAACAGGUAUGUUAUCAAGCAUGAACAUUUACUUUUACCUUGAAUAAGAUAUUAUUGGUGAAAACUAUAUAAUAUAUAAUACAGUGUUUGCAAGAUAAUAAUUGAAGCCAAUAUCAAUUAUAUACAUAUAUAAUAUCAAUGUUGACUAAUGCUAAGUUAUGAAAGAUCCAUUCUGUCAAAGUUGUUUGAUUUUGAUACAAUGGAACCAAAAUUGCACAUCUAACAAAUUAUGGCCAACUCAAUUUACAGUUCCCAUUACUAAACUCAUCAGAAAGAACAGGGGAAUCAACUAACCUCAAAAGCUAAAUGCUUGACGAUGCCACACUCUGCAGACCACCAGCCCUACGUCGUCCUGAAGCCAACCUCCACGACCCACCACCACUGGCGCAAACGCGAGCCACCACGACCCACCACCCUGUCGCAAACGUCACGAAGCCUACCCACCCAAACUGCAAACCACCAGCCACCACCGAACACACCUCACCGUCAGAACCCUUACACUAGAACGACUUAUGGCAAGCAAAUUCUACCUCCCAAGAACACAAUCAACUUCUGAUGGCAAUCGCGAGAGAGACGAGGACAGGGGAUUUCUGAAAUUGGGGGUAUGGGAUUUCUGAAAUUGGAGGAAGGAAACCCAAUUUUUUACUUAAGUAUAUCGUGGACAUUACCGAGGGCUGAAAGUCCUCAGUAAAUUAUUUCACCAAAUUUUUACUGAAGGGCAACAGGUCGCCGGUAAAUACCACUCGGUAAUUAGCGUAUUUACUGUAGUGGGUUUGGCUAUAGAGCAAGUAGCUCUGAUAUCAUAUUAAGUGAGAUUAAGCCUAACUCAACCCCACAAAACCAGCUUGUAAAGUGAAAUUUGUACCUCACUCAUAUAUUAUAAAUUAGCCUUAUCUCUAGUCGAUGUGAGACUUUCAACAUUUUUAUUAUAUAUUUUUACUAGAUACUUAAAUCUUAAUUAAAUUUUUUGUUCUCUGCAUUUCAUUUACUUUUCAAUAAUUACAAUUUUACUUUAAUAUUAAUUUUAAAAAAAUGUACACAAAUCUAAUUUUUCUUGUUUUAAAAUCACAUAUAAAAUGAAAUUGAGGGAAUAAUUAAUUCCAACAAUUCAAUUUUCUACUCUCUGCAUUUCAUUUACUUCAAUAAUUACAAUUUUAUUAUAAUAAAAAUUUAAAUAAAUAUUUACACAAAUCUAUUUUUUCUUUUUUUAAAAUCACAUAUAAAAUGAAAUUGAAAGAAUAAUUAAUUCAAUGAUUAUAUUUAAUAUUUUGUGAUAAUUGGACAGACUAUUUGACAUUUGUAAUUGUCCUUUUUAUUUUAUAUUUUUUUAUAAUUCGUUUAUUUAUUUAGCUUUUAUUUUUUUAGAUUCACGUGCCAAAUCACCAAUCCAGAGGACUGUAUAUACCAAUUAUUAUGCUGACCCAUUUAUUUUGUUGGUCCAAUUCAUUUAUUUUCAAGAUUGAGUUUCUACAAGUCAAACUAAAUUAUUAUGAACACUAUUUUCUUAACCUAUGGAUUAUUUACGGUGGAUAUUCGAAACCUUUAUAAAACAAACAAAAUAGUAUUCACCAUCGCAAGUGUAAUCUAUUUCAUUAGCAAAUUAAUAUUACUAAAAUUCGAGUUCUUGACAUAAUUUACUAUCUUUUUUACAACUUAUCGAUAUGAAUACUUUAUUUAAGCAUUUCUGGUUAUGCUGUCGUCACUUCAUCUACACAAUUUCUCCUGAACGUCUGGUCGUAUCCUUCAGUUCUGGUUGUGCUGUCGUCAUUCCAUCUACACAAUUCUUUCUUAACGUCCGCUUGUAUCCUCUGUCUUCUCCUGACUGCUCACUCAGGUCGCUCCUGAUAGGUCUAGAACUUCCUUCAACCACACAUGAUUGGGUACCUGCUAAUGAGGCUUCGACGCUCAAGUCAGUGAAUGGUCAAAGGGUAGAGAUAGAAAAAGAAAGUAAAUACUAAGAGUAAAUGUGCAUUCAACGUAACCAACUAUCCUUAACUUUUGACCUGUAUUUAUAGUUUUUACCAUGGACCUGUGAUUAAUGAGAUCUUAAUCACAGCUCAAUGGCCCAAUAUUACUAAUCGUGUUUUACCUUACUCUAAUUCUAAAUGUUAUCAGCUACUUUGACUAAAUGGUCUCUCCUGAAAUAUCAAUUUAGUCGGUCAAACUUGCAUUAUUAUUGGUUAUCUCGGAUAAUAAUUUUUGUAGCCCUUGUAUCAUGAACUUACAAGUCUUCCUAAGCUGUGAUUCGCCUACUGGACAUUCUUGACCAGUCCGUCCGGCUCAUAUGAUACAAGCAUGCAUCAAAUAUAUAAUAGAAAUGUUAUUUAAGAAUAUAUACUUGUUCAUAAUACAUUUUAGUUCGUCCCCACGUAUCUUUAUUUGAUCACAUAUUUGUCUCCUUAUUUUUCCUUUAUUUGUUGUUAAAAUUAUGAUGAUCAUAAAAAUGUUGGAGAGAUAUAUUCAUGUUUUCCAACAUAUUUUGGAAAUAAAGUACUAUUUUUUUUUACACAAUAUUUUGGGCACGUAGUUUUACGUACUAAGAUGCUUCUGGAGAAAAAAUUAAACAAAAAUUGUCAACAUCUGGAAAGAAUCCUGCUGCAUGUAAGCACUACUCUUUUCAGCAGACAGCAGAAAAAAGUGCAGAACUGUUUGGCUAAUCAUUAGCCUAAGUUAAAAAAAUAACAAGAAUUUUUUUUUGUUAGGAAUAUAUUUAUAACAAAAUAUUAUACUUUUUAAAUGAAGAAAUGUGAGGAAUAAUAACAGGAAUUUAGAGAAAAAUAAUAGAUAAUAUUGCACUUACAUAAAUUGAUAAUACACACUUGAUUUAUUGUGAAGUAGAAUAAAUUCUGCAUAUUGGUCAUUAAGAUCUGGUUUAACAAAUCAAACGCCUCUACCUCCAACAUACCCCAAAAACAAAACUUGCAACAACAACAACAACCAAAGUUCCCCAAAUAUACCAACAAAGAUCAAAGGUUAUACUUACUAAGACAAACAUGUCUUUGCCAAAUUAUUAAAAUCACACAUUGCAGAAAAAAGAAGAACAGCAAAUUGAGGACACAAGUGAUGAGAUGAAGCUAGCAUGAUGAAUUCUAUGCACAUUGGAAGCCAGAAGGAACAGUUUUUUGGCAUGCACUGAGGAGCACACUGAGUGUGAUAGGGAUAUUCAAGUUGAUUCCAAGCACAUUGGCUUUGAUGGCAGUGCAGAGGCAAAGUGCAGCCUCUAGAUCAGCCAAACCCUCAAGCAAUGAACAACACUUGCUAGAGACAGGCGAGCCAACAACAACGUUAACAAGUCCUAGAAUGUCAGCACAAGCCCCUAGCUUCAGUGUGUCCUUAGGGCACUUCCCAGAUGGAGGAGGAGAAGGAGGAGGAGGAGAUUUGGGAUGGCAUGUCCCACAUGCAUAGGUUGAUGUGGAGUAGGCAAGGAGAGAAAGCAGCAAGAUGGUGGCAAUAAGCUUGUUGGAAGCCAUUGCAAGGUUGCAAAUGAAAAACAGUUUUGCAGAGUGUGGUUUGGUUUGAGUGAAUCACAAUGGGAAAGACAAGAGAUGU
rnacentral:lncRNA from 1 species